rnacentral:rRNA from 1 species
AUACGGAGGGUGCAAGCGUUAAUCGGAAUUACUGGGCGUAAAGGGCGCGUAGGCGGUCUAUCAAGUCAGGUGUGAAAUCCCACGGCUCAACCGUGGAGGUGCAUCUGAAACUGAUAGACUUGAGUAUGGGAGAGGAAAGUGGAAUUCCCGGUGUAGAGGUGAAAUUCGUAGAUAUCGGGAGGAACACCAGUGGCGAAGGCGACUUUCUGGACCAAUACUGACGCUGAGGCGCGAAAGCGUGGGGAGCAAACAGGGUUAGAUACCCUAGUAGUCC